UUCACAAAGGUCGACUAAAGUUAUACCCGGGGUAUAAAACGCGUCAUUUGACGUCAUUUUAAUCCAUGGACUAAAGUUAGCACCUAGGGGCUAACUUUUGCGAUUCACAAAGGUGGACUAAAGUUAUACCGGGGUAUAAAACGCGUCAUUUGACGUCACGACUUAGUCAGCUCUUUGGGGUGGACUAAAUCGGUGGGUUAAAGUUAGUCCACUGUUUUAACCAAUCAGAGAGCAGCAUUUCGAUUGCGGAAAAGUUUGCUGCAAGAAAAAAGUGUUUUGGGCAGAGACGAGAUUCGGUGUGAUCGGCUUAUCUAAAGCUUCAUAUUCCACGACUUCGACCGAGAUUCAACAGACCAUACAUACUCGGCAGAUUGUGCUCAAUCAAGACAAAGCAAACAUGGCUCAAUAUUUUGAACUGCUGUGCCGUCUUGCAAGAGAGUGAGAUUCAGCAACACAUAGAAAGACCACAGCAUGGAUUAAGAGACAGGAAGAAUCCAUUUGAAUACUACGAGGAUGAACCUCUCAGAGUGGGGUACCAACAGAGAGAACCACACAUUGCCUGUCAUGUUACAGGUUUUGACAGGACUUUGUUUUAUGUCAUUGGUAUCCGUUGCUCCCCUCUUUGAUGAAUUCCUGCCUGCAUUCUGUUGUCAAUAGAAAAGGACGGUGUGCUACGGGUAUAAGCAUUCCAUUGGAUUAUCUGUGCAUGAAAGUGGACACUUGUGAUAAAAAAUGGUAGCUUGGUUGUAGUGGCGUACCUAGGAUUUUCCACAGGGAGGGCAAAACCGUUUGGCCGAAAAAUUUUACAAGUAAAAAAAAAAAGGUCUUCAAUCACAAAUAAAGGAUUUCGUACCAGAAAUAAAAUUGACAAGCAAAAAGAAAAGUUGUUCAAGCUCGUCAGGGGGGCAGGUAUACGUCCUUUGCAUGGGUUGUGGCUCGUCAGGGGGGGGGGCAGAGUGCCCCCCCCCCCGUAGGUACGCUAGUGCUUGGUUGAUAGGAUGUAUUCAUGCAUUCCGAUUUAUCAUUAGUGAUCAAAUGACCAUCUUGCUUUUUAAAAACCCAAGUUCACAACAUUUUUCUUGUUUGAUAAAAGGUUUGGGACGUGAAUUCCACGAUAUAAAUGACACAUAUGAUGGGCUAAUGUAUAAGCAGGGACAUGAGAGGUAUAAGCAACAUUUUUUUCAUGCUUAAUUAAGUUUGGCAUGAGAUGGACUUGGUCUUUCUUAUGAUUCAAGUCUAUUUUAUACCAAUUUUGUUUUAAUCAACAAUCAAUGUUUUAAGUCUCAUGAUUUCAAUUUCAAAACAUCUUUGUUAAUUAAAUAUUCAUUUUUUCCUUAGCAUUUGCAUCUUCUUAAUUUAUCAAAUUUAAAUUAUAAGAUAUCAUUUUUGCUGAAUAUCCUUUUUUUCACCUAUUUUCAUAGGCCCUAAGAUACAUUUCUGUAGUAAGCACUAUAAAUACAUUGCAAGCUAUUAUCAUUUGUUUGAUAUUACUAUUUUAUAGAAUCAUCUUUUAAUUUCUUUCAGAAAGAUAUUUGACAAAUUACUUGUGAUAUCCAUGCUUUAGCUGUAGAGUUUAAAAUCUUCAUUAAACUUUAUUUAAUCCGUUGUUUAUCUAUUUUCAUUCAGAGUUUCUGAAAACGUAAACAUAUAAUUUGUAUCAUGUAAAGAAUUUCAAUCUACCUUAAAAAGUAAUGCACUAAAUAAACUGCUCUGUCUACUACACAUGUACAUAUAAGUUUUGAUUUUAAAGGUCAAGUCCUCCCCAGAAAAAAAUUCGAUUUGAAUUAAUAGAAAAAAAAUCAACCGAGCAUAAUGCUGAGAAUUUCAUCAAAAUCCGCGUCGGUUGUAAAAUAGGAACGUUAUGAAAUUUUCAAGUUUGGCUUAUUUUUCACAACACAGUUAUAUGCACAGAUCAGUGACAUGCAAAUGAGACAGUCAAUGAUGUCCACAUGUUCAGGGGGGGGGGACUAAUCUUGGUUUCACUUGACAAUGAAGAGAAAAUUUGAAUAUUUCAUCUCGUAGAAUAAAAAGAAAUAGUUUGCAUGCCGACUGGGAUGUACAUAUAAGUUUGUAGUCAAGCAAAACUUUAAAAAUGUCAUAACUUAAUAUCUUUACAUCAGAUUUUGAUGAAAUUUUCAGUGGUACGCUCGUUGUGUUUUUCUCUUUUUAUUCAAAUCAACUUUGUGGGGGUGGACUUGUCCUUUUAUAUUGUUUUCAAGUAAUUGUGUCAGGAGAAAACAAAAAUGAAAUUCUUUUAUCAAUUCUGUCCAUAUGUUGCAUGGUUCAUCGUUCUUGCAGGAGGCAAAAAAUAAAUUUAUAUAAGAAAGUCUUA